ensembl:lncRNA
UCUGCUAGAUAUGCACAUAAAAGAACGCCGCCAUCAUGAAAGAAAAGCGAGCCCUGAUGAGUGGGUGAAGGAUCUCCUGCUGAGGUAUGUGCAGCUGUUUCCACAGGUCUCCUGCCACCUCGAGAUCAACGUGGACAGGGCCAUUUAUGGGCAGGGCCGCUUCAGGUCGUUUACAUUCCUGGAGAUGUGGCAGUGGUACAGCCUGCACAAGACUCUCCAGGCUGACCCGCAAGCUGGGACCGACCACGAGAGGAAAAUGGCACAGGAGGCGCACUGCUCUGUGCAGCAGUGGCUGGUGAUGAAGGCGGAGGACAUCACCACCAAGUCACUGAAGCGCUUCAGGCAGUACAUUCUCGACAAAGAGAAACCUCCACAGGACAGGGACCCUCCCGCAGCAGCUGCCAGCUCCAGUUCAUCAGGGUCCAAAGGUGAUGGCGGCUGGGUGGAUGACGCUCUGCUGGUGGAAGCUCUCACCUCCUUUGAAAGACAAGCAGCUGGGGAAGCUGAGGGUAGAAAAAAGUAUCCAGACAAAGAGACCCAUCCAGAUCCUCCACAGAAGCCAGCCACAGACUAUGUUUCACCGUAUACUGCUCCUGCAUCAGCUCCUGCAGCAGCUCCUCCAUCAGCUCCUGCAGCAGCUCCUGCAUCAGCUCCUCCAUCAGUUUCUGCAGCAGCUCCUCCAUCAGUUUCUGCAGCAGCUCCUCCAUCAGCUCCUGCAGCAGCUCCUCCAUCAGCUCCUGCAUCAGCUCCUCCAUCAGUUUCUGCAGCAGCUCCUCCAUCAGCUCCAUCAGUCAGAAGGCCUUUCUCUACUGUUGUGGGUAUUCGAAAACUGUCAGGCAGAUCUGCCACAUGUCUGGCUGGUACUCCAUGCUGACAGAAGUCCUGGCAUGCAACGCUUGCAGAAAGGCUGCAAAGGAGUCAGAGGAACACUCCAUCGGUCGGUUCCUCUCAUGGGAUGCGUGCAUCCUUAACCAGCUCAGUCCAGCUCACAGAGCAGUGUUCCCAGCUGUCUUGACAUUACGGCGUGGCAUGGACAAGCAGGUUAUCCGCCUGAUGAGGGAUCGCACCGAGGGCAACACCAUGGCCAAGGUGUGGAGGCAGGUCCUGGAGAGUCACUGCGAGGAGUACCUGCAAAGAAAGGACUUGUACACCACCCUCCUCAGCCAGUACAAAAAACCUGGGAAGAUCACACGGAACAUUUGCCAACAAUUCCAGCUACCACCAGCGAGGAGAGAGCUGCCAUGUCCGAAGCUGUUGAGAAAGGCCUUUCUCAUUGCAGAGGCAGAAAACAUCGAGGACUACCGCACACAGAUUAUGUCUUCUUUUGGCAAAGUCCUAAAGUACGACUCCACCAAAAAGAUCUGCAAGAAACUUUCCGGGGAUGGAAAGGGCACGGCGGAAUGGUGCACCAACGUGGCCAACGAGCUGGGCCAGAUCCUCACGUCAGUCCUGACUUGUGAGGAGUCGCUGGACAAAAUGCGGCCGAUGGCUGAAGGCCUCAUGGAGAGGUACAGGAGAGCUGAC